UGCUAAAUGAUUGAUUGCUAG
ensembl:piRNA 21ur-1601 ncRNA